UACAGAGGUGGCAAGCGUUGUUCGGAAUUACUGGGCGUAAAGGGCGCGUAGGCGGCCUUCUAAGUCAGACGUGAAAUCCCCCGGCUUAACCUGGGAACUGCGUCUGAUACUGGGAGGCUCGAGUAUGGGAGAGGGAUGUAGAAUUCCAGGUGUAGCGGUGAAAUGCGUAGAUAUCUGGAGGAAUACCGGUGGCGAAGGCGGCAUCCUGGACCAUAACUGACGCUGAGGCGCGAAAGCGUGGGGAGCAAACAGG
rnacentral:rRNA from 1 species